rnacentral:lncRNA from 1 species
AGUCGCUAAUCAUCAUGAUUCAGGUCCAAGAGCCGCCAACCUUCAAGAAGACUGUGUGUUGAUGUUGAAUGCGAUUUACACGCUGACAGAGCAAUUAUACACAUGCAGUGUCUUGACAGUUAAAGCUGUGAUGGGUGCCAAAGAACCUAUCACUUCCAUCAAGAAGGUGCUUGGCUGCUUAUCCACACUUCCCCCUCAGAUUAGUGAGUUAACUCGGUCAGCCGCCCGGAGAGGUAUUCUGACUGCCCUGAGUCGCUGUUUGGC